rnacentral:rRNA from 1 species
AUGAGAGGACAAGCACAUGGCAGCAUGAGAUUUUCACCUUCGAGCAACGAGGAACGGCAACCAGUAGCAGCCCAGCCUGAUCUAAUGAUCUUGCUUUGGCCUCGUGGCCAUGCCACACGAUGUCCACCCCUGCAGCCACACCAUGGCGCUGAGCGUAGCCCACGGCGCCGCUGGCUCGCCACGCUUGCGCUCACCCUUGGAGAAGCCACCGACUGCAGGCAACACCACUCCCCCGCACCGGGUCACCUGCGGGAGGAGCUUGGUGGCGGCAAGGGUCGUCCGCCUCGGGUGGGUGACAUCAGUUAA